AUGUCUUCCUACGGCGCUUCCCAGACCAACCUCAGCGGCCAAGUCACGGAGAAGCUGACCCGCACCAACUAUGUCCUCUGGCGCGCGCAGGUGACGCCGCAGCUCAGGGGCGCGGGAGUCUUCGGCUACGCCGACGGCACAACACCGGAGCCGGCCAAGUUCCUCACCACCAAAGAUAAGGAUGGGAAGGAAACCUCUGCGCCCAACCCUCUCCACCCUUUCUGGGUCCGGGAGGACCAGCAGGUGCUGGGCUAUCUCCUCAGCACCCUCACCAAGGAGGUCCUGCUGAGGUGA
rnacentral:rRNA from 1 species